GUAGUCAUAUGCUUGUCUCAAAGAUUAAGCCAUGCAUGUCUAAGUGUAAGCAAUUUAUACUGUGAAACUGCGAAUGGCUCAUUAAAUCAGUUAUCGUUUAUUUGAUAGUACCUUACUACAUGGAUACCUGUGGUAAUUCUAGAGCUAAUACAUGCUAAAAACCCCGACUUCGGAAGGGGUGUAUUUAUUAGAUAAAAAACCAACGCCCUUCGGGGCUCCUUGGUGAAUCAUAAUAACUAAACGAAUCGCAUGGCCUUGCGCCGGCGAUGGUUCAUUCAAAUUUCUGCCCUAUCAACUUUCGAUGGUAGGAUAGUGGCCUACCAUGGUGGCAACGGGUAACGGGGAAUUAGGGUUCGAUUCCGGAGAGGGAGCCUGAGAAACGGCUACCACAUCCAAGGAAGGCAGCAGGCGCGCAAAUUACCCAAUCCCGACACGGGGAGGUAGUGACAAUAAAUACUGAUACGGGGCUCUUUCGGGUCUCGUAAUCGGAAUGAGAACGACCUAAAUAACCUAACGAGGAACAAUUGGAGGGCAAGUCUGGUGCCAGCAGCCGCGGUAAUUCCAGCUCCAAUAGCGUAUAUUAAAGUUGUUGCAGUUAAAAAGCUCGUAGUUGAACCUUGGGUCUGGCUGGCCGGUCCGCCUCAUCGCGAGUACUGGUCCGGCCGGACCUUUCCUUCUGGGGAACCUCAUGGCCUUCACUGGCUGUGGGGGGAACCAGGACUUUUACUGUGAAAAAAUUAGAGUGUUCAAAGCAGGCCUUUGCUCGAAUACAUUAGCAUGGAAUAAUAGAAUAGGACGUGCGGUUCUAUUUUGUUGGUUUCUAGGACCGCCGUAAUGAUUAAUAGGGAUAGUCGGGGGCGUCAGUAUUCAGCUGUCAGAGGUGAAAUUCUUGGAUUUGCUGAAGACUAACUACUGCGAAAGCAUUCGCCAAGGAUGUUUUCAUUAAUCAGGGAACGAAAGUUAGGGGAUCGAAGACGAUCAGAUACCGUCGUAGUCUUAACCAUAAACUAUGCCGACUAGGGAUCGGACGGGUUUCUAUGAUGACCCGUUCGGCACCUUACGAGAAAUCAAAGUUUUUGGGUUCUGGGGGGAGUAUGGUCGCAAGGCUGAAACUUAAAGGAAUUGACGGAAG
rnacentral:rRNA from 1 species